GCCGGGUGUGGUGGUGCAUGCCUGUAGUUCCAGCUACCUGGGAGGCUGAGGCAGGAGGAUCACUUGAGCCUGGGGAGGUCGAGGCUGCAGUGAGUUGUGACUGCAUCACUGCACUCCAGCCUGGGUGAUAGAGUGAGACCCUGUCUCAA
ensembl:misc_RNA Metazoa_SRP Metazoan signal recognition particle RNA